rnacentral:rRNA from 1 species
GACGAACGCUGGCGGCGUGCUUAACACAUGCAAGUCGAACGGAAAGGCCCUUCUUUUGUGGGGUGCUCGAGUGGCGAACGGGUGAGUAACACGUGAGUAACCUACCCUUGACUUUGGGAUAACUUCAGGAAACUGGGGCUAAUACCGGAUAGGAGCUCCUGCUGCAUGGUGGGGGUUGGAAAGUUUCGGCGGUUGGGGAUGGACUCGCGGCUUAUCAGCUUGUUGGUGGGGUAGUGGCUUACCAAGGCUUUGACGGGUAGCCGGCCUGAGAGGGUGACCGGCCACAUUGGGACUGAGAUGCGGCCCAGACUCAUACGGGAGGGAGCAGUGGGGAAUAUUGCACAAUGGGCGGAAGCCUGAUGCAGCAACGCCGCGUGCGGGGUGACGGCCUUCGGGUUGUAAACCGCUUUCGCCUGUGACGAAGCGUGAGUGACGGUAAUGGGUAAAGAAGCACCGGCUAACUACGUG